rnacentral:lncRNA from 1 species
ACAUACACCACCCCUCCUCUCUGUAAGAAAAUAGUCCACAUACCCCACUCCUCCCCGUAAUUCACUAAUGAAGUUUCUGAUCUUCUAUCGUUCUAAUCUAGGGAGCAACUCAAGAACGUAACUGAAGCACAACUUCUCUCCGAUACAGGUAGAGAAAUUUCAGCAAAAUCUGCAAGACAUUAUACAUACUUCUCUCAAAUUCGGUUGGAGAUUUGGGGAUUUUCUAUUUUGCCCAAAUCUGUAUUAACCCUAAAUUUAUCUAGUCGUAGGCCUCAAUUUCAAAUUAGGAGUGUCAGUUUGUUAGAGGACAAUCAACAAACAUAUAAGAUCAAAAGGAACAAGGUACGCCAAUUUUCAAGUUUAUUAAGAAAAAUUAGGUCGAAGAUCUCUCAGUUCCUUCUACUUAAGUCGGCAACUAGGUCUCUCUAUUUUAAUUGCUAGAACACAUUCUAAUUUUCUUAAAAUAGAACCAAUCUUCUCUUCUUACUGCUUAUCGGCUUAUUGAUAUGUUGAACACUUAAUUUUUCUUCUCUUCAAGAUAAGUUUGUGUUAUUUUCACUCUGAAUUGUUUUGUGGAAUGUCUAAUUUUUUCAAAUUCUUUGUUUUCCCUAAUUUUUGAGGAUCCAUUUUGGUUUGUUUUUCCUUUUAUUUUAACUGAAUGUUAUUCUGCUUUGUGCACUAGUGUUGUCAUAUCCUUAAUUAUGUUCGAGAUAGAGUUGCAAAAGGUUCGUAAGUAUUUAACCAAGUCACUGUUAUUAAACUUAUGUUCCAUACUUUCAUCAAAAUACUGUUUGCACCAACAACACCUAGAGUGGCCAAGAACUUUGAAUUUUUAGAGGGAACUGUCAACUGGCAGUCUAAUUCUCGAUAGUCUCAUAAUAAAAAAUGAUAUCUUGAAAGUGAUUUUUCAUUUUACGAUGCCAGAUCAUCUUUGAAGUAAUGCAUUGGCUGUUUCUCUAUCUCAUUGACUCCGAAGUAGUGUGACAGGUGAAUUUUCCACUAUAGUGGAUGGACCAAAUUUGUAGAUCUUCUUGUUCAUCACAAAUUUGGAUGUUCAUGAUUUUCUGAACUACUCAUUAAGGGAAAACUGCUUUAAAUCUAUUCACUUUCCAGUAGCCAUUAUGAAUAAAAUUAGUCACUCUUGGGUUCUUCCUCUAGGAGGACUAUUGAUGGUGCUAGCCCAUUGCACUUUACUAGUCCAGUUAUCCAAAAAAAUUAAAAUCAUCUCAGGCCCAACUUUGCGUAGAAUAUACUUAGCACAAAUAUCCCUGAUCGGUAGCAUUCUUCUCCAAGUGUGAAACUGAUCAGGACCAUUCUUCCUUGAACAAGGGCGAGCUAUUUGAGUGUAGCUUCUAAAAAGUCUCUAAGCAAAGAUUUUUUUGUACUGAAGUUCCACUGUAUUUUAGCUGAGAAAGGACCAAAAGCUUCCUAUAAAGAUCUGAAUCCUACAACUCUCAUUAGUAGGAAACCAUAUGUGUCCAUUGUGGGUACAUAGUAAAAGAUUGAUAAGCUAGAAUACAUGUGGAAUGCCAUUACGGUAAGGAUUACAACAUUAUUUUCUUUAAUUUUUGUAGUUGGAAGUUACUGAUAUGGACUAUUUUGUUCUGCACAUAAAGUAAAAUUUUAUCACCUAGUUACAAAAUUCUUGGACCAGGUAUCUACAUCUAUUAACUUUCCUAUUGUGUUUCAAGUAAUCCACUCUUUCAGCUAUCUCUUUAUUAUUUGUACAAAUGUAAUCUCUAUAUUUUUAGCUGUCACUCUGAAUAUAUAUCAGUUUGUUUCUCUCCAAGUGUGGUAACUAUCUCUCCAUAUAGCUGUAACUAAUUCCUUUUCAUAUUUUUCGAGUGCCUUCCCUUUCUCCAUAUUAAGCUUUGUGUUGCCUUCAUCUUUUGUACUCCAAUUCACUAGUUCUGUCUUCAGUGUUUUUCUAUAACUAGUAUUUCAUUUUCAGUACAUAGUUAAUCGUAUGUUGCCUUCAUAGAAUAUUACCAACUACUUUGUCCCCCAAAUGAGUCUGCCAGGAGAUCAAUCGUUGAUCUGGACAACUCCUACACUCUCCAGUAAGUUGAGUAGUGAGUACAUUUUGAUAAGAGAUCCAAUCGAGUUUCCAGCUUGUUAUAUCUAUAUAAACAACACUUAUCAUCUUCUAAUUGUAUUUGUAGUCUAAUCUUCCUCUCUUUAGUUAGAAAUUUCUCUUGAUUAGCCAGCUGCUAGCCAGACAAUAAAUUGGUGUCAAGGUAACAUGAGUAAGUACCAUACCAAGUCUACUACAUUUAAUCGCAGCUGCCUACGCAUCAAUUUAUUGUGGCUUCAACUCACAUUAUAUGCCUCAUCGCACUAGUAGUAAGCCUAUCAGAGAGAUUAUUUAUGAAUUAGUAAGUAAAUCUAAAAACUUUUUAGAAAGCCUCUUCUCUGUUAAUUUGAUUUCUUUCACCUUCUUAUUUAUAUGUGAGGAAAAGAUGGUAAGCCACCAAACAUGGAUACUAUAUUCUUUGAGACACAUAAGAAGGAUAACAAGCUUGUCGAACCUGAAACAAAUACAAAAUAUGGAUGUUUGCUCUUAAAUUUCAUGUUACACCAUUUAACUUUAUGUGCUUAAUUAUUUUAAUUUGUCCCAUGUUUUAUAUUUUGAUAUCCAAAAAGUGAUUCAAUCUUAAUUUAUCUCUUACAAAUAUUGAGGUCGUUGAGAAGUGAUUUGGACCUCAACCUAAAAAUAAUGUGGUAGGAUAACAUCGAAGGAAUUGAAAUGGUGGUAACUCUUCAAAGGCUGCAUUGCUAGAUAAGUUGAAUGUUGAAUGUAAGUGAAAUGCAUGGAUGAGUUAGAGAAUAAUUAUUAACGUGUGGAUGAGCUCGAGAAAAAAAUAUGAACAGCUUGCAAUUGUUGUGUUUUGUUAGCCUUCAUCACCGCCAUAUUCCACUGAUCAAUAUAUUGAACUAGUUAACAGGUUAGUAGACAAUUUUCUUUGGUCUAUGAUGAAAUUAUUGUGCAACGCUAUAUGAAAUUCUUUUCAUUAGUUGGAAAAGGUUUAGUAUAUGUGAUUGUUCUUAUUCAUAAGCCUAACUUUCAAUGUGGGAGACCUUAGCUCUAACUAAGACAGCUGAGGCAGAGGACAGUGUUCGAUUCCUCUUAAGCAGAGAGUAAUUGUUCCGUGUUUCUCUUUCUUAUUCAUUAUUGUGUUGUCUCUCCAUGCUAUUUAAUAUUACUACUUCUUCCAAAAAAGUUCACAUGCAUUCAUUCAAUCAUUAAAAGAAUAGAGCUUCUGCCACAAUUUAAUCUGCAACUCCCAGGUAAUGAGGGAAGCUUGGAUAUUUAGGUUAUUAUCCUAGUUCAGCAAGAGUCUUUGAAUUGUUUAACUUCUUUCCUUAAGGGCCACUAGUUCCUGAAUGAAGGAAUAAAUGACUACUGUAGCAUGAUUCUUUAAACACGUGGCUAAAUACUAGCUAACUUCAACCCUCAUAAAAGGAGAGCCUAACAUGAAACAAAUAACUAAUAAAAGCUUAUAAAAUUCUUACAACGUAAAAAACGUUCCUUCAUCAACCCUUGGUAAUCCCUAACAACAUCUACAACCUUCAAACUCCUAACGAGUAAAGGAAAAGAUAGAUGGAUCUUUAUAUGAAGUUAAAAGAUAUCUAUUAAAGUUGAACUUAGAUUCAAAGGAGUUAUUUCGACCAUAAAGACUUUGUUUAGCAAGUUAAACCUCAGUUUUGCUUCUUACUUUUUCAACAUGAUGUUAUCUUGAACUUUGAUUUUGCUUGCAUGUUGUCUGCUAACUGUCUUAUGAUUCAACACAAGUACAUAACAUGAAACAAGAAGUCAAGAACUACUUUGUAUCUGAUACCAACCUCAACAUUACCUGAUUUAGUUGGUUUUAUUUGAUGGAAAUAACAGGGAAUAUAGUGACUCUAGUAAGAGUUAAUUUUUCCAAUUAUAAGCAUGAAAAGAAAACAAGAGGAAAGUGAACUGAAAGGAGCUGAAAGAUAAUUUAAUGCAGGAAGUAUAGCAUAAAAGUUGUAGUGAUGUGCAGAACUUUCAACACUCAUUUGUCUCUUUGUACAAAUAUAAAUAUACGGUGCAAGAGAAUACUUCUCUGUAGUACAAGAUUCAUGAUCAAAACUACUCCUAGUGGCAGAAAAAAUUUAGUAACCAAUUAAAAUCCACAAAUUAUUCAGUUCCUAGAUACAUUAGCUAAUUUAAACAAAUAAAGAAGUAAGAAUAGGCAUCAUGUUUUGGGAAAUUGAUUUAAAGAUAAAACAAGGGAACCAAUACACUUUGAUGUCAUGAAGAGGAUAUAUAUUUCCUAAUUUUUGGUGCAUCAAUCAUUUCUUUUUGAGGAAAAGAAACUAAUACUGACUGUAUACGUAAAACAUGUUAGAGUAGGAAGGUAGAUAAUUAUGUGUUCCUCAUUUGUUUAAUAGUAAACUUGGCAAAAGUUUUCAUUUUUUCAUGAGGAAGAAGCAUUGAAUAAAGUAACCACAUACUAAAUUCAAAACAGAGAAAGAACUCUUAAAUUUUUAUGUGUUUUGAGAUAUGUUUUAGUAGUCCUUGUGUGAUGAUUCAAAAUAUUUUCCAUCUUCUCUUCAUUGUUUAUCUGCCAAAUCUUUUUUGGCUAUAUUUGUGUUAAAAUUUUGUUUGUCCUAUCUUGAAAGCUCAGUUCAUUCCAUUUUGCUGUUCAAUGAAACUGACUUUAUGUUAGAGUUCAUUAAAAUCAUUCAAUUUGAAUUAGAGAUAUACAUGGAAGAAAAUCUGCAUUUAUAUCAAAUCUUUUUUGACAAGUGAUGAAGUUUUGCAUUUAUAUUAAUCUCUUUGUGAUGCCCAUCUGUAGUUUGGUCCACAUGUUUUAUACUAUGAAACUACUUCUUUGCUAUAAUUAUUUGUGUGCAGCAUAUUAUUAUUUUUUUGGGUGAAAAAUUAAUAAUUUUAGCAGACAUUUGUAUUGAAGAAAGGCGAUUGCCAUAUUAGUGUUAAAAACUAUAGCUAUAGUCUGUAGUGGCUGGUUUCUCCCUAAUAAAUACAUUAGUUAUUGUUCACCUGCUUUUUUAGAAGCUUUAAUUUUUUGUUGCAUCCUUUCUGCUAAAUAUUUUGAGGUCCUAUAUGUGUUUCUACUUAAAUUCUUUGUUUUUUGUUAUCAAACUGAUACACACUUCUUCUUCUUUUACAGCUCAAGAAUUUUAAUAUGAAAUAUUUAUCAUUCAAGAAAGUAGGGAGCAAGUUGAAGUUUGUGAGGAUUUUAUUAGGGGGGGUUUAAAGACUAUAUCUUAUGUAUAUAUGUUGCAAAUUUCUUUUUUGAAUUAGAAGUUGAUUAAAGUUGAUGACAUACAACUUGGAUAUAUAUCUUCGUUUAGUUCUCUUUAUUAAUGAUGAAUUCUUAUAUCAAUUCAAUUAUUUAAUAUAUGUUUGAAUGUGUAUGA